UGAAGCAUGAUCGUAAGGACAUGUGGAGCGCUUAGAAGUGAGAAUGCCGGUGUGAGUAGCGAAAGACGGGUGAGAAUCCCGUCCACCGAUUGACUAAGGUUUCCAGAGGAAGGCUCGUCCGCUCUGGGUUAGUCGGGUCCUAAGCUGAGGCCGACAGGCGUAGGCGAUGGAUAACAGGUUGAUAUUCCUGUACCACCUAUAAUCGUUUUAAUCGAUGGGGGGACGCAGUAGGAUAGGCGAAGCGUGCGAUUGGAUUGCACGUCUAAGCAGUAAGGCUGAGUAUUAGGCAAAUCCGGUACUCGUUAAGGCUGAGCUGUGAUGGGGAGAAGACAUUGAGUCUUCGAGUCGUUGAUUUCACACUGCCGAGAAAAGCCUCUAGAUAGAAAAUAGGUGCCCGUACCGCAAACCGACACAGGUAGUCAAGAUGAGAAUUCUAAGGUGAGCGAGCGAACUCUCGUUAAGGAACUCGGCAAAAUGACCCCGUAACUUCGGGAGAAGGGGUGCUCUUUAGGGUUAACGCCCAGAAGAGCCGCAGUGAAUAGGCCCAAGCGACUGUUUAUCAAAAACACAGGUCUCUGCUAAACCGUAAGGUGAUGUAUAGGGGCUGACGCCUGCCCGGUGCUGGAAGGUUAAGAGGAGUGGUUAGCUUCUGCGAAGCUACGAAUCGAAGCCCCAGUAAACGGCGGCCGUAACUAUAACGGUCCUAAGGUAGCGAAAUUCCUUGUCGGGUAAGUUCCGACCCGCACGAAAGGCGUAACGAUUUGGGCACUGUCUCAACGAGAGACUCGGUGAAAUCAUAGUACCUGUGAAGAUGCAGGUUACCCGCGACAGGACGGAAAGACCCCGUGGAGCUUUACUGUAGCCUGAUAUUGAAAUUCGGCACAGCUUGUACAGGAUAGGUAGGAGCCUUUGAAACGUGAGCGCUAGCUUACGUGGAGGCGCUGGUGGGAUACUACCCUAGCUGUGUUGGCUUUCUAACCCGCACCACUUAUCGUGGUGGGAGACAGUGUCA
rnacentral:rRNA from 1 species